AGGGCUAUAGUUAACCAUAACAUUUGAAUUGCAUACAAAAAGUACUGCAACACCACCGCAGUUAGCCUUA
rnacentral:tRNA from 1 species